rnacentral:rRNA from 1 species
GACGGGGCCCGCACAAGCGGUGGAUUAUGUGGAUUAAUUCGAUGCAACGCGAAAAACCUUACCUACCCUUGACAUGCUAGGAACUUGCCAGAGAUGGCUUGGUGCCCGAAAGGGAACCUAGACACAGGUGCUGCAUGGCUGUCGUCAGCUCGUGUCGUGAGAUGUUGGGUUAAGUCCCGCAACGAGCGCAACCCUUGUCAUUAAUUGCCAUCAUUCAGUUGGGCACUUUAAUGAGACUGCCGGUGACAAACCGGAGGAAGGUGGGGAUGACGUCAAGUCCUCAUGGCCCUUAUGGGUAGGGCUUCACACGUAAUACAAUGGUCGGUACAGAGGGUUGCCAACCCGCGAGGGGGAGCCAAUCCCAGAAAACCGAUCGUAGUCCGGAUUGUAGUCUGCAACUCGACUGCAUGAAGUCGGAAUCGCUAGUAAUCGCGGAUCAGCAUGUCGCGGUGAAUACGUUCCCGGGCCUU